AUACUAUCGAUUGCCCCAUCACGGGCCGGAAACGUGACCGGGAUGUAGCCCAAAGUCGGAAAGAUAAUUGAUCCGGAUCGAGUUAACAUAGAAUGGAAAGAAAAAGUAUUGAAAACAGUCAUAAUGAUUUAUAAGCUAUUAUAUACUAUAUCAUUCUUGUGUGGCUGGACUUUCAUUGAUGUUGGAUGUACAUAAUUAUAUUGAUUAUUUGAGUCUUUUGGAAACUGUUUAUGAUUUCAUGAAAUGUGCAUCGAUUUGUCAUGGUUCUCAAAUUCAUAUUAUUAUUGUGUUGGUAUGGAUGUGUAGAGAUUCUUACUGGGCUGUAAAGCUCACCCCCUCUUCUUCUUUUCGUUUUCUCUUUUUAGAGUUGCAGGAUGCAUAAACAUGGAUGGGUUGGGCGCGGGGCGCGAGUAUCAAAGUCAUUAGCUAGUUAGUCAAUUUAUCUUUCUUUGAUGUCGAUGUCGAUGAACAUUUAAAGAUCUUGUAAUUGAAUCAAAUUGAUUAUCUGGACAUGUUGAAUUUGUCAAUUUGAAUUAAUUAAUUAGUUGUGGAUUUAUUGGAUUUUUGUUUAUCUUAGGUCUUGCAUGAUCUUUAGGGCACUGCUCUAGGGCUCAUGCGGCCGGUCACGUACCGGACCCGGGUGCUGGGAUCGGGGCAUGACAGAGUGGUAUUAGAGCUUAAGGUUUAGGUUCAGGCGAGUGUGAGUGGGAGAAAAAUAUCUGAUGACUUAUUAAAGUACCCUCUAGAUACAUUUUCUUUACAAUCUUAAAAUGUUAAAAGUAACUUGUGUAGGUUGAUAUGGCACGAGGAAGUGGAUGUGGGCGUAAUAGGAGGCCGACUCACUUUGCUGAUGGCUCUGCUGCUUGGACGCCCUCCGAACAACAAGUAGGUGCUCCACCCUCGCCGGCCAGGAGUAUGCACCCGCAGGAACACCACGUCAACCCUAUUGGUAGUGCUCUGGAAAUGGGAACCCCAGAAACUCCAAGGAUAGGAACCUCGGGUGAGCCUGGAAUUCAGCCUAAUGAACCACUGAGUGCUUCUCAGAUGAUGCAAACAAUGAUGCAACAACAAGCUACUUUCCGUUCAGACAUGAUGAGAAUGAUGGAGAUGCAACAACGCUUCAUGGAACAACAGCAAUAAUUUAUGCAGCAACAGUUACAACAUCAGCAGCAGCAGAUGACUCCUCAGUAUGUACAGGGGGCUACAAGUCGGCAAGAGCAUCAUGUUAGUUUGGCAGAAUUCAAAAAGUUUGCACCUUCAGCUUCUAAAGGCACUUCUGACCCUUUAGAGGCCGAGACUUGGCUGAAUGAAAUGGAAAAGGUUUUCAACGCUCUGAGAUGCCCUGAUGAGGAUAGGGUUACUUUUGCUACAUUUAUGCUGCUGGGAGAAGCGGAUAUUUGGUGGAAUGUGAAAAGAGAAAAGAUGGGACAGAAUGCUACAUCUUUGACUUGGGAAGGAUUUAAGGAGCUUUUCCGUGACAAGUAUAUUCCCCCAAACGUGAGACGGUAGAAAUUUCGAGAGUUUACCUAGUUAGAGCAGGGGAAUAUGACGGUCGGAGAGUAUGCUGUAAAGUUUGAAGAACUGGCCAGGUAUGCCCCAUGACAGGUGGAGAAUGAAAGAGAACGAGCUGAGAAGUUUGAAAGUGAACUUAGAGCCCGAAUCAGACAACAGGUGUCUACCUUCGAGCUUUCUUCCUAUAAGGAUGUGGUUAACAAAGCUGUGGUAGUUGAAAGGGGCUUAAAUGACACUCAAGAAGAGAGGGAAAGAAUUUUGAAAAAAGGAACAAACAAGCUGAGCUACAAAAUAAGCAUGGCAGAAAUACUGAAUCCAAGCCCAAGAAACAAACUACUGUGAAUGAUAAAACUCAGCACAAGGAUACUGUAAAAUGCUAUAGAUGUGGCGGCCCCCACUAUCGAAGAGACUGUCACUGGUUUAAUGGGAAUUGUUUUUCAUGUGGCCAACAAGGCCAUGGGGCAAACACUUGUCCUAAUCACAGAGAGCAACAAACUUGACAGGCAUCUCAGCCUAUUCAGGGAGCUCCAACCAACCAAGCAACUCAGAAUGAACAACAAUGAGGAGGACAGCAGAGGCCUAGAACUCAGGGGUAAGUCUAUGCUUUUACACAACACGAUGCUGACGCCUCUAACACCGUGGUGACAGGUACAAUUGAAAACUCAUCCAUGAAUGUCUAUAUUUUGAUUGAUCCUGGAGCUACUCAUUCUUUUGUAUCUGUUGAUUUUGUCGGAAGAAAUAGUACAUUAAUUUCUUUGCCACUAGAGACUGAAUUGUGUGUCUCCAUCCCUAAUGGAGAUGUAAUCUUAGUUAACUCUAUCUGCAAAGAUUGUAUCUUGAAUAUUGAAGGCAGAAAAAUGAAAGUAGAUUUACUAGUCCUAGAGAUGAAGGAUUUUGACAUGAUCCUUGGGAUGGACUGGUUGGCAGCAUAUCAUGCCACUAUUGACUGCUUCGAGAAAAUAGUAAAAUUUCAAAUUUCUGGUCAGCCAGAUAGUGCUUUCGAAAAAUUGUUCUCCCAAGUGCAGGAGAAUCGCACAAGUAGUAUAACUCGAAAGUCCGAGGUCGAUUCCUCAGGGAACGAUCUAUGGGUUAUUAGCUUAAUUUUAGAUUAAUUGAUUCAAUAAACUUGUGGAUUAAGAUGAUGGUUCGCAAAUAGAAAGUAAACCAGUCAAUAGAGAAUCAAAGUUUGGAUAGAUUAAGAUGGUGUAGGGAUCCUGUAAAUCCCGGCCCAUUUGGAAACUUGGGAGGAGAAUGGCGGUGGAGAUCGACAACUGUUGAGGCGGUUAUAACCGCCUGACAGCCACGAUCACCACCACUUCUCCCUCCCCGCCGAGCCUAUAAGAACCCAGAUACUCAGGGAUGCUUCAUCCCUUACCUCUCACUCUCCCUACUCCUCACCCUCUUCCUUCUGUGUAAGAAGCCGGAUCGAGUACAGUGGCGCCGGAGGAGGAGGGAGCUCGUCCCCGCACUGCGUCGUCGGAGCAGAUGCAUCAGCUCACCGAAAAAGCCCCACAGCUCCUUUCCGGAGCUAGGUAUUGAAGAAUUGGCAUUUGAUGGGCAAAUUAUAUGAAUAGGAGAUGCUAGGAACAAGGAGCGUGACAAGCCUCAGGGUUAUGGGAAUAAUAAAAUAUUAAAUGAUGAUUUUGUUUUUAGAAGCUAUGUAUGGAUUUUAAUACCUGAACAUUUAAUGACUUUCAUGAAUAUAUUUGUUUAGUAAUUGAAGUUUUAAAGAGGCUGCGUGUUAUUGUAUGCUUAACUUGGCAAUAGCACGGCCGUGUCAUGAUCCGAAUUUGGGGCGUGACAUUUAGUGGUAUCAGAGCAAUAGGUUUAACCAUGAUUUAAAACUUUAAAAUUAAUCAUGGGAAUGGGUAGCUAAGUCAGCUUUCACAUAAUUGGAAUAAUAAUAAUAAUAAUAAAAUAAAUUAAAAAGGAAAAUAAAAUAAUAAUAUUGGUUUAUAUUGUCUUAGGUGACAAUGAGCAACAAAAAGAAGGAAUGUAGGGCUAAUACAAGCCAUUCUAGGGACGUGAUUGUGACAGAAAAACUAUCAAAGCGUAGGUUAAGAUCAUUAUGAAUUGUGAUUGGAAAACUGCUAGAGCUUAAGUUAUGAUCACAUGGGAUUGUGACAAAAUUAGAAUCAAAGAAUAAGUUUAAGAUCACUAGGGUUUGCAACAGAAAUGUAUCAUAGCUUAAGGUUAUGAUCACUUGGGACAUGACAAAAGUAGUAAAAAUUACAUUCAGCUUAAGUGAAAGAUCACUAAGCAUUUUAAGUACCGGGUUUGGUAUUCGAUAAAUACGAAAGUACUGGAUAAGAUGUUUUGAUCAUGAUGAGAGAUGUUUGACCUAAGAUAAGUGUAGGAAGGUUAACUAUGACAUAGCGGUUAUACUAUGUUCGGAUAGUGUAUAAAUGACUCGAAAGUUUAAAAUUGAUAUAAAUUUGGAUGUGAUUAU